rnacentral:rRNA from 1 species
UACGUAGGGUGCGAGCGUUAAUCGGAAUUACUGGGCGUAAAGCGUGCGCAGGCGGCGCGUUAAGACAGGUGUGAAAGCCCCGAGCUUAACUUGGGAAUUGCGCUUGUGACUGGCGUGCUGGAGUGUGGCAGAGGGAGGUGGAAUUCCACGUGUAGCAGUGAAAUGCGUAGAGAUGUGGAGGAACACCGAUGGCGAAGGCAGCUCGCUGGAACGGUACUGACGCUGAGGCGCGAAAGCGUGGGGAGCAAACAGG